GUCUGUUUUAACGGUGUGUUGGAUAAAUCUAUAUAUACAUUCAACUGUGCGAAGAGCGUGACGUAUGUUUUAACGAAAUAAUAAAAGCGCCACAAGGCAUGAAUGAUGUAUAAAUAGCUAACAAUGUUAGCCAUACUAAACAUAGUAAAAGUGAUUAGCAGACGGCAGACUGGGUUCAAGAAAACAGAGAAUAUUUUGACUAUCAUAGCUCUCAAAGUGCUGGACAAAUUGUACGAACACUAAUAUUAUUUUGAACAUCCGUUACUUUAUGAUUUACAUUUAAACGUUUUGUGCUGAGAUCAUCGCCCACUUGGGCGCACAUGGAUGAUUUUGAACUGUACGCCAGUUAUGAGCAGCAUAGCUACGAAUCAAGCAGAGAUGCUCCGAUUGUGGGGGAAGUCAUGACGAAGUUACAUCGUCAAUUACCUAUGCGCCGAUGACACAUAUUGUUGAAGGUUUGCCUGACACAGGAAUACUUGAGCCAGUAGUGUCACAAGACAGCAGCCUUUCUUUGACAAGUUCUGUUCUUGACAUUAGAGAUCCAAAACAGCUCUUCAGUCUAAUAGAGAGUGGCGAAAUACAGUGCCAACAUUUACCGGACAAAAAUGGGUGCAAGCUUGUCGAGCCCUUAGCUCAAUCGCAAAUGUCAACAAAGAAAUUGAAGAAAUGUUUAUUCCACCAGCAGCGUGAAUCUAAACAAGUAAACAAACCGCGAAAAAACGGCGACAACACAUUGGCUAUUGACAAGCGAAGAUAUUAUUAACGAGAAGCUUAGAGCGAAGGAAAAAUACUUGAAAAGGAACUUAAAAAGAAAGAAAAAUUGAAAAGAGAAAAUAAAAGUUCAAUGAAAUCUUCAAGUAAACAUAUCAGACGUGAAAAACAAUAAUGACAUAGAUGAAAUGGAAAAUAUUAAAGCAACGGGAGAAUAUUUCUGCUCCAAUAAACUGCGUAUGUUUAAAAAAAUUCAAAUUAAAUUUAAUAUAUUGAAAAGACUAUUAUAGCGAUCUGAUUAAAUCUUUAGAUAAUAUCAGUUAACAGAGUAAUUUGUUAGUAUUACAUAGCACUAAUGUUUUCAGUAUACUGUUUAUAAAACAUGUCAUAUAAUGUUCGCUUUAAAACAUUUAAAAAUAAAACAAAAAGCUGUCCGAAUUUUCCCUAUAUAGCUUUUUACUUGUUUGAAUUACCCCUACCAUCGUCCGAAUUUUCUCGAUGUGAGAGUUGCUAUUAUUUCUGCAUGAUUUCAAUAUCUCGGACUGUAAAUCAGUUGAAGGCAAACGGUAAAGUCCGAGCGCGAUAGUAAGUUACAUACAGCAGCUAAAAUUAUUAAGGAAGCUGAUGUCAUAUCUGGUGUGCAACAGGGCACCUUUAUCUGUCUUUUACUUGUUCUAGUACACCCUCAUGACUUACCGGAAUGUGUAUCCUCCUCAGAGUCUCCUCUUCCGCUUCAUCAAGAAUCAACAAGAUGCUGACCUCCUACAGAAAGACGUUACAGCACUUGAGAAAUGGGAGAGUGACUGGCAAAUGGUCACAUUCUCAAAACGGCUGAAAGCACCAAGUAUCUGAGAGUUACAGUUAGGGAUGACCUCACUUGGAGGAAACACAUCAGUGCUACUGCUGCCAAAAGUAACAGGGCUCUUGGGUUCGUCAGACGAAACCUUAUCGACAGCACACUUCAGGUCAAAUCAGCAGCUACACUACCAUCAUCAGGCCGACCAUUGAAUACGCCUCCACAGUCUGGGAUCCAGCCUCCACUAUCGACAUACACACCCUGGAACAAUUCCAGAGGAAAGCGUUUCGUCACCAACCGUUACACAGAGCGUAUACCGGGUUGUGAAACCCAAAUACUUCAGGAACUUGGUUGGGAACUCCUACAACAUAGUCGAUAUAUAGCCCAGCUGUCGAUGCUCUUCAAGAUUGCCAACAGCAUAGUAGAUGUCCCUUAGAGUCCACUGAUACAAAGCGACCAGCGAACUAGAGGCGACAACCGUUGCUUUCAAAUAAGGACAUCAACCAAUAUCUACCUGAUGUCAUACUUUUCACGCACGUAAAGCGACUGGAAUCGACUACCAGCCAGGGUUACCAACUGUCAUACCAUCGAGUGGUUCAGGGCAAUACUCAGGUCCCUGCCAGCCAGUUACUAGUCAUCAAGAACCGUGUACAUACAAUGUAAUUUUAAAGAGCCUUUAACCUGUAAAUACUACAGCUGUUUAUUGGGCACUGUAGCUUUUUAUUACAGGGUUCCGGGAAUUCCGACAGGAAUAUUACUCUCACUCUGGAUGAUGAUGAUGAUGAUGAGAGUCACACAUCUGGUUUAUAAAAUUUAUGUAUGAUAACCACAUAAAGGGAACUGUUUUUGAUUCAGUUAACAGAUAAACGUUUUAUUACUACGAUGCAUUUCGUGAACAUUAAUCACCGUCAAGCUGUCCAUUGAUAAUAUGUUUACAUCAUGGUAUCAAAUUAUUUGCUAUUACAAUAUAAAUAUUUCUUCGUGUUUAGCGUCAACAUUGUUUCAGUUAUAUAAACGACUGUGUCUACUUGAAGCAAUUCGCACAAUGCCUUACUUUAUAGUGUUGCCUCAUUGGAAUAUCACGUUGAAGGCACAUGAAUUGAUACUCCACCCAGGCACAUAAGGGCAUAAUAAAAUAUAAAAAUAUAAAAAUAUAAAUAUAAAAAUGUCUUUAUUUUACCUAACCAGAGUUCCCGGAUUCGGUACUAGUUCUAACCUGUUCUCCGCAAGAAACUGCCAACUUCUCCACAUGAUUAAGAGUUGGAGGACGAAACCAACGACCGAAGGCUUGUGUGGCGGACAAUUUAACGUCUAGACCACCGCUCCCAUUAAUUUGACAUGUGUAUAUGUUCAGUAGAUCAUAUGGGCAGUCAAUGCUAAAAAUAGUUUUACUGUGUUGCAAAAGUUUUGUUAUUAUUUCCUAAUUAAGUUCAAAAUAUACAUGACUCAACACAAACUACUAGAAUGGUAUCAAUUUAGUACACCACACGUCAUUGUGCGUUAACAAUAGAGUCGCUUUCAAUGACCGGUCAGCUCAACGGCAGAACAUACUUAUGAAGAAGAAAUGUUUAUCACUGUUUUCAUAAUAUCAAGUUAACACUGAAUAUCACAUUUUGUUCCUUUUAUUAUGUCUUUGUUAGUACUAUUAGAAGUUAUUAUUUUUAUUAACAAUACUGUUGUUUUAAGUUAAUAAAAUUAUGAUGAAACUGAACUAAACUAAAAUAAAAACAAACAACUUUG
rnacentral:lncRNA from 1 species